GCGAGCAGUUUUCUUGUCUCUUGUUGCUUCUUCAUUAUUCAUCUUAGGAUCAUCUCCUUUGCUAUUUAUAUUCAACAUAAAUAAUAAUUAAAUGUGGGGGCAGAGGUGCGAUGGUGUGAAUGUGAAGGAAAAACUCCACGUCCCUGAAGGGAAACCAAGCCACGAAGCUAGCUGGGACUGGAGGAGUCUGGGAAGCACGGUUCAUUGCAAGAGCUUGAUGGAGAGCAGGAAGGCAUUAACGUGCGAUGCUAUGAGAGCAGUUUGGCGCACUUCGGUAUGCAGCGAGUUCCUCGGUCAGGGUUCCCCUUGGAGUUCCUCAGCAGG
rnacentral:lncRNA from 1 species